GCAGGGGUAGCGAAGCGGUCAAACGCAGCAGACUCAAGAUCUGCCGGCUUAGUGCCUUCGGCGGUUCGAAUCCGCCCCCCUGCA
rnacentral:tRNA from 1 species